CGAAAGCCUGACGGAGCAAGACCGCGUGGGGGAGGAAGGCUCUAGGGUUGUAAACCCCUUUUCUUUGGGAAGAACAAAAUGACGGUACCAAAGGAAUCAGCCUCGGCUAACUCCGUGCCAGCAGCCGUGGUAAGACGGAGGAUGCAAGCGUUAUCCGGAAUUAUUGGGCGUAAAGGGUCCGCAGGUGGCUAUUCAAGUCUGCUUUCAAAGAGUGGAGCUCAACUCCAUAGAGGGAGUGGAAACUGAGCAGCUAGAGUAAGGAAGGGGUAAGAGGAAUUCCCAGUGUAGCGGUGAAAUGCGUAGAUAUUGGGAAGAACAUCGGUGGCGAAAGCGCUUUGCUAGACCAGAACUGACACUCAGGGACGAAAGCUAGGGGAGCG
rnacentral:rRNA from 1 species